rnacentral:rRNA from 1 species
UGGGGAAUAUUGCACAAUGGGCGCAAGCCUGAUGCAGCCAUGCCGCGUGUGAAGAAGGCCUUCGGGUUGUAAAGCACUUUCAGCGAGGAGGAAGGGUAGUGUGUUAAUAGCACAUUGCAUUGACGUUACUCGCAGAAGAAGCACCGGCUAACUCCGUGCCAGCAGCCGCGGUAAUACGGAGGGUGCAAGCGUUAAUCGGAAUUACUGGGCGUAAAGCGCACGCAGGCGGUUUGUUAAGUCAGAUGUGAAAUCCCCGCGCUUAACGUGGGAACUGCAUUUGAAACUGGCAAGCUAGAGUCUUGUAGAGGGGGGUAGAAUUCCAGGUGUAGCGGUGAAAUGCGUAGAGAUCUGGAGGAAUACCGGUGGCGAAGGCGGCCCCCCUGGACAAAGACUGACGCUCAGGUGCGAA